AACGAACGCUGGCGGCAUGCCUAACACAUGCAAGUCGAACGAGACCUUCGGGUCUCGUGGCGCACGGGUGCGUAACGCGUGGGAACCUGCCCUUAGGUUCGGAAUAACUCCCCGACAGGGGUGCUAAUACCGGAUAAUGUCUUCGGACCAAAGAUUUAUCGGCUUUGGAUGGGCCCGCGUUGGAUUAGCUAGUUGGUAGGGUAAAAGCCUCCCAAGGCGACGAUCCAUAGCUGGUCUGAGAGGAUGAUCAGCCACACUGGGACUGAGACACGGCCCAGACUCCUACGGGAGGCAGCAGUGGGGAAUAUUGGACAAUGGGCGAAAGUCUGAUCCAGCAAUGCCGCGUGAGUGAUGAAGGCCUUAGGGUUGUAAAGCUCUUUUACCCGGGAUGAUAAUGACAGUACCGGGAGAAUAAGCUCCGGCUAACUACGUG
rnacentral:rRNA from 1 species